UACGAAGGGGGCUAGCGUUGCUCGGAAUCACUGGGCGUAAAGCGCACGUAGGCGGAUUGCUAAGUCAGGGGUGAAAUCCUGGAGCUCAACUCCAGAACUGCCUUUGAUACUGGCGAUCUCGAGUCCGGGAGAGGUGAGUGGAACUGCGAGUGUAGAGGUAAAAAUUCGUAGAUAUUCGCAAGAACACCAGUGGCGAAGGCGGCUCACUGGCCCGGUACUGACGCUGAGGUGCGAAAGCGUGGGGAGCAAACAGGGUUGA
rnacentral:rRNA from 1 species